UACGGAGGGUGCGAGCGUUGUCCGGAAUCAUUGGGUUUAAAGGGUGCGUAGGUGGCCUUCUAAGUCAGCGGUGAAAUCCAGGGGCUCAACCCCUGGCGUGCCGUUGAUACUGGAUGGCUUGAGUGUCGCAGGGGCAGGCGGAAUUUGUGGUGUAGCGGUGAAAUGCAUAGAUACCACAAGGAACACCGGAGGCGAAGGCGGCCUGCUGGGCGAUCACUGACACUGAUGCACGAAAGCAUGGGUAGCGAACAGG
rnacentral:rRNA from 1 species